rnacentral:rRNA from 1 species
UCCAGACUCCUACGGGAGGCAGCAGUGGGGAAUAUUGGGCAAUGGGCGCAAGCCUGACCCAGCAACGCCGCGUGAAGGAAGAAGGCUUUCGGGUUGUAAACUUCUUUUGUCAGGGACGAAGCAAGUGACGGUACCUGACGAAUAAGCCACGGCUAAUUCCGCGCCAGCAGCCGCGGUAAUACGGAAGGUCCGGGCGUUAUCCGGAUUUAUUGGGUUUAAAGGGAGCGUAGGCCGGCUUUUAAGUCAGCUGUGAAAGUCCGCGGCUCAACCGUGGAAUUGCAGUUGAAACUGGAGGCCUUGAGUGCACACAGGGAUGCCGGAAUUCAUGGUGUAGCGGUGAAAUGCUUAGAUAUCAUGAAGAACUCCGAUCGCGAAGGCAAGUGUCCGGGGUGCAACUGACGCUGAGGCUCGAAAGUGCGGGUAUCAAACAGGAUUAGAUACCCUCGUACA